UUAAAAAAACAUCUAUAAAAAGGUCUUAAAGCAGUCAAUUCAAUCAUUCGUUCUAAAACAUUCUGAAAGUGUAAGAAAAGUGUCUUCUUCCUAUAAAAGCAAAAGAUUGCCGCAAUGAAAUUCCUUUUACUGUUCACCGUUGUCAUUAUCCUACUGUUUGAUAAUGUAUGCCGCUCGAGUGGUGAAGAGCCAGUGGAAAGUUUAUCUCCAGCACGAGUAAGAGUACGCCGUUAUGCAGAUUGGGCGGGUUGCAUGGCUAUUUGUACACCAGGUUGUGCAAUACCAAAUUGCAAUCAAUGGUGUACUCGCGUCUGCUGUAAAGAGUAUACUUCGCCUCAAUGUUAAAUGUAUGUGGGAUGGUUGAAAUAAAAUAAAUUUUGCUCUGA